UUGGGUACAGUGCAAGAUGCUUGGGUGAUGGGUGCACUGAGAUCACCAUUAAAGAACUACUUUCCCAAAAACUAUUGAAAAAAAAAGUGGCAGCUAAAUUAAGCCCUAAAGAAUGGUUAGGAUUUUCACAUGUAAAGAUUACAGGCCAGGCAUGGUGUCUCACGCCUGCAAUUUUAGCACUUUGGGAAGCCAAGGCAGGAGGAUUGCUUGAGCCCAGAAGUUCAAGACCAGCUUGGGCAACAUGGCAAAACUUCGUCUCUACAAAAAAUACAAAGAAUUAGUCAGGCGUGGUAGUGUGCACCUGUAGUUCCAGCUACUCAGGAGGCUGAGGUGGUAGGAUCACCUGAGCCCCAGGAGGUCAAGGCUGCAGUGAGCUGAAAUCAUGCCACUAUACUCUAGCCUGAGCAACAGAGUGAGACCCUAUCUCGAAAAACAACAACAACAACAACAAACAUUACAGAUAGGAAGGCAUUCCAGAUGGAGGUAACUGUACAAAAGUAUGGAGGUUGAAAGAAAGCACUAUGUCUAAAGCAGGGUUUCUCAAUCUCAGCACCGCUACCAUUUUGGGCCUGAUAAUUCUGUGUUGUUGGGGGGUGGGGGGGUUUGCCUGCACAUUUCUGUACACUGUAGGAGGUUCAGCAGUAUACCUGGCCUCUACCCACUAGAUGUUAAGCAGUAGCCCCCAGGUUGUAACCACCAAAAAAGUCUGUAGACAUUGUCAGAUGUCCCCUGGUGAGUGGCGGUACAGGGCAAUAUCUCCUCUGACUGAGACCCUCUGGCCUUUCUAGGAAAGAAAUUAAAAUAUAUUUGUUGUCAUGUCAAAAGAAGUGUAAAGAGGCUACUACUUGCUCUAUGUAUAAUGCAAAGGAUACCUAGUCAAGUUCUUUCUUGGAGGAAAUAACUAUCAGAAAGCCAUAGCAGUACAUGACUUUAUGAAUGAAAUCAAUGUCUCUAUGACUCUUCUGAGGGAAGCUAAAACAAUUCUUAUUCUGGAAAACGCUGUAUAGUCAAGAGAGUUAAGCAAAACACAGAACACAUUACAAGCUUUUUAUGUAAAAGUAAUUUUACCUUGUCUUGCUGUGUAUUCAUUGUCUUCAAUUAACCUUGCUAAACCAAAGUCUGCUAUUUUGCACACAAGAUUUUCUCCUACAAGAAUAUUAGCAGCCCGAAGAUCUCGGUGAAUAUAGUUCAUUCUUUCAAUAUAUGCCAUACCAUCAGCAAUCUUGGAAAGAGAAAAACAAAAAACACAAGACACACGAUACAAAGGGAAGCAGAGAGAAGACAAUUAUGGUUAAUGUCAAAUUGUGUCACUGAAAAUCAUAUUAUCUUAGAAGGAGAUGAUGGUAACAGGGUAUAGUCUAGAUAACAGGAAAACCAGAAAACAUAAUAAAAAUGCAGGCUAAAUUCAGAUUUCAAAAAUCUAACACUGGCUGGGUGCGGUGGCCCACACCUAUAAUCCCAUUAAUUUGGGAGGCCGAGGAAGGCGGAUCAUUUGAGGUCAUGAGUUCGAGAUCAGCCUGGCCAACACGGUGAAACCCUGUCUCUAUUAAAAAUACAAACAUUAGCUGGGUGUGGUGGCACAUACCUGUAGUCCCAGCUACUCAGGAGGCUGAGGCAGGAGAAUCACUUGAACCCAGGAGGCAAAGGUUGCAGUGAGCCAAGAUUGUGCCACUGCACUCCAGCCUGGGCAACAGAGCGAGACUCAGCCUCAAAAAAA
rnacentral:antisense_RNA from 1 species